CCCUUAGAUGUUCUGGGCCGCACGCGCGCUACACUGAUGCAUUCAACGAGUUUCUUCCUGGUCCGAGAGGAAUGGGUAACCUUUUGAAAGUGCAUCGUGAUAGGGAUAGACUAUUGCAAUUAUUGGUCUUCAACGAGGAAUUCCUAGUAGACGUAGUUCAUCAGACUGCAUCGAUUACGUCACUGCCCUUUGUACACACCGCCCGUCGCUCCUACCGAUUGAAUGCUCAGGUGAGCCAUUCGGACUUUCAUCAUGCUGGUUUCCAGUUUUGAUGAAGGAAAGUCUUGCGAACCUUAUCAUUUAGAGGAAGGAGAAGUCGUAACA
rnacentral:rRNA from 1 species